GGGGUGUUGGAGAGAAAUCAUGCCUGGAGAAACAUGUGCACAUACGCACACGACUGAAGUUAAUAAAAGUGUCAGCGAUUCACGUGUGAGGGGAUGAGAGCAGCCUGGCUGGAGCAAUCUGCUGCAAAGAGCAGUCUAAGCUGUCAUAGCCAUCGUGGAGGGCACUUUCAGGCCUGGCCUGGUCUGUCAGAGAGCUCUGAAGUUAUUUUAAAGAAUAAAAAGAAUAUUUUAAAGACUGGAAUUUUAAAGAUAAAGACAUCUUCAAGGCAGAAGCAGGAUGUUCAUUUACCUGGAGACCCACUAUCUAAGAAACUUCUGAUGGAAGUGCUAUAUUUAGCAGCCAUUCAGCUGGCAAAGUGCUCUGUUAUUCAUUAUAAUAUCAAGUUUUCACCAAAAAAAAAGCUCAUUUUUAGAGACUUUAAUGUAGGGGCUUUUGUUCCCUCUCAGACAAUUCUUGCUGUGUUUUUCUUUCACUGCUUGGUCUUAACAUCUUGGUGUGGAAAUGAACUCACUAGGAGACCUGUGUAGAACAUAUUUUGGGGGAAAGAGGUUCCCCAAGCUCUGUUCCAGCAGUUCUGGAGGCACAAGCAGGUGUCAAACUGUUCUUGCUGCAUAGGUUCCUCUGGAUCCUCACAAAACCUUGUAAAUUAUUUUGGAGAUCCAUUCAUCAAGUCCAAUGUAAUAUCAAAAUUAGUGCUCCUACCUGAGCCUAAGGAAAUGUCUUCUUUUACCAUUCACGCAUUAUAAAAUGAAGUGCAACAGAAACUGAGUGGGGAAAAUGGUUAUAUAUCAAAUAUUCAUUCUGAACAUUUUGAGGUAAAAGAAAUAAAAUACAUUACUUUAACCACAUUUGAAGCCAUACUUAGUUGAGAAAAAUUUUUCUUCUAUUUAAACAGUAAUGUGAUAGCCCAGUGUCAUCCACUUGAUUAUAAUCAUUACCUUACACAUAUCC